UUGGCAAUAUUGCUCAGAAAUGCAUUGUAAUAGACUAAUACUAACGGAUGACGAGAAAAAUUAACAGUUCCGGUUUUUGAUUAACUGAAUUUUUUCUUUAAAUUUUAAUUUAAAUAUAUGGAUUUCGGGAGAAUUAAAAAAUUUCGGUGUUAAUAAUUUGAGUAUACAUUAACAAUUUAGAUAUGUGGGAAACCAAAAUCCAAUACAGUCAUCAACUCAAUUUCAUCUCAUUCAAACAUUUCCUUGUAUAUACAACAACAGUUGCGGAUUGACAAAUCAUCGUUGAAGUACUUCAUACAUACAUAAAUAUGUCUUCACCAAUUAAUUGAGUCUUUCCGGUGCAUGUGAUAUUUUAGCGAAAAUUCCGAAAUGGCUUUAAAAAUAUUUCGGCUUAAUUGAGUGUGAGGAAUAGCAAAAUAUUUAUGUUAUGAAACCAAAUAUUUGCUUGCAUCUCAGCUACCAGUAUAACACUCCACUGAACAAACAAAUUCACCGGUUAAUCAUAUGCACAUGCAGAUUAGCCCGUACAAAGACAUCAAAGCGAUGCGGAACAAAAAUAAGAAGAAAAAAAGAAGAAUUGCACAUCCCCACCCCUAUACUGACUUAUUUUCCAUUAACAUGCGCACAUCAGCACACAAACUCAAAACGAGGUAGAGCAUUGAUAGGAAGGGACGCUAGCUGUAUUUACAAGCGCAUGUUGCCAGGACGGUAAUGUUGGAAUUCCUUGGAAGUUGCAUGACCCACACGAUAAGCUUAAGGCAGAGAAUGUUACCCCAACCGAGAGUAUUUCUGACAUGAAAUGAAGGCUCCUUAUAAAAAACAUCAG
rnacentral:misc_RNA from 1 species